AGCGAACGCUGGCGGCAGGCCUAAUACAUGCAAGUCGAACGAACCUUCGGGUUAGUGGCGCACGGGUGCGUAACGCGUGGGAAUGUACACCUUGGUAAGGAACAACGUCGGGAAACUGACGCUAAUACCUUAUAAUAUCUCCGGAUCAAAGAUUUAUCGCCAAGGGAUCAGCCCGCGUCUGAUUAGCUAGUUGGUGGGGUAAUGGCCCACCAAGGCGAUGAUCAGUAGCUGGUCUGAGAGGAUGAUCAGCCACACUGGAACUGAGACACGGUCCAGACUCCUACGGGAGGCAGCAGUAAGGAAUAUUGGACAAUGGGGGCAACCCUGAUCCAGCCAUGCCGCGUGUGUGAAGAAGGCCUUAGGGUUGUAAAGCACUUUCAAACGUGAAGAUAAUGACGGUAUCCGGAGAAGAAGCCCCGGCUAACUUCGUGCCAGCCGCCGCCGUAA
rnacentral:rRNA from 1 species